rnacentral:rRNA from 1 species
UUAAGCGACCAAGCGUACACGGUGGAUGCCCUGGCAGUCAGAGGCGAUGAAGGACGUGCUAAUCUGCGAUAAGCGCCGGUAAGGUGAUAUGAACCGUUAUAACCGGCGAUUUCCGAAUGGGGAAACCCAGUGUGACUCGUCACACUAUCAUUAACUGAAUCCAUAGGUUAAUGAGGCGAACCGGGGGAACUGAAACAUCUAAGUACCCCGAGGAAAAGAAAUCAACCGAGAUUCCCCCAGUAGCGGCGAGCGAACGGGGAGGAGCCCAGAGCCUGAAUCAGCAUGUGUGUUAGUGGAAGCGUCUGGAAAGGCGCGCGAUACAGGGUGACAGCCCCGUACACAAAAGCGCAUAUGCUGUGAGCUCGAUGAGUAGGGCGGGACACGUGGUAUCCUGUCUGAAUAUGGGGGGACCAUCCUCCAAGGCUAAAUACUCCUGACUGACCGAUAGUGAACCAGUACCGUGAGGGAAAGGCGAAAAGAACCCCGGCGAGGGGAGUGAAACAGAACCUGAAACCGUGUACGUACAAGCAGUGGGAGCACAGGUUUACCUGUGUGACUGCGUACCUUUUGUAUAAUGGGUCAGCGACUUAUAUUCUGUAGCAAGGUUAACCGCAUAGGGGAGCCGAAGGGAAACCGAGUCUUAACCGGGCGUUAAGUUGCAGGGUAUAGACCCGAAACCCGGUGAUCUAGCCAUGGGCAGGUUGAAGGUUGGGUAACACUAACUGGAGGACCGAACCGACUAAUGUUGAAAAAUUAGCGGAUGACCUGUGGCUGGGGGUGAAAGGCCAAUCAAACCGGGAGAUAGCUGGUUCUCCCCGAAAGCUAUUUAGGUAGCGCCUCGUGAACUCAUCUCCGGGGGUAGAGCACUGUUUCGGCUAGGGGGCCAUCCCGGCUUACCAACCCGAUGCAAACUGCGAAUACCGGAGAAUGUUAUCACGGGAGACACACGGCGGGUGCUAACGUCCGUCGUGAAGAGGGAAACAACCCAGACCGCCAGCUAAGGUCCCAAAGUCAUGGUUAAGUGGGAAACGAUGUGGGAAGGCCCAGACAGCCAGGAUGUUGGCUUAGAAGCAGCCAUCAUUUAAAGAAAGCGUAAUAGCUCACUGGUCGAGUCGGCCUGCGCGGAAGAUGUAACGGGGCUAAACCAUGCACCGAAGCUGCGGCAGCGACGCUUAUGCGUUGUUGGGUAGGGGAGCGUUCUGUAAGCCUGCGAAGGUGGCCUGUGAGGGUUGCUGGAGGUAUCAGAAGUGCGAAUGCUGACAUAAGUAACGAUAAAGCGGGUGAAAAGCCCGCUCGCCGGAAGACCAAGGGUUCCUGUCCAACGUUAAUCGGGGCAGGGUGAGUCGACCCCUAAGGCGAGGCCGAAAGGCGUAGUCGAUGGGAAACGGGUUAAUAUUCCCGUACUUGGUGUUACUGCGAAGGGGGGACGGAGAAGGCUAUGUUGGCCGGGCGACGGUUGUCCCGGUUUAAGCAUGUAGGCGGAGGUUCCAGGUAAAUCCGGUACCUUAUUAACGCUGAGGUGUGAUGACGAGGCACCACGGUGCUGAAGUAACAAAUGCCCUGCUUCCAGGAAAAGCCUCUAAGCAUCAGGUAACAUCAAAUCGUACCCCAAACCGACACAGGUGGUCAGGUAGAGAAUACCAAGGCGCUUGAGAGAACUCGGGUGAAGGAACUAGGCAAAAUGGUGCCGUAACUUCGGGAGAAGGCACGCUGACACGUAGGUGAAGUGGUUUACCCAUGGAGCUGAAGUCAGUCGAAGAUACCAGCUGGCUGCAACUGUUUAUUAAAAACACAGCACUGUGCAAACACGAAAGUGGACGUAUACGGUGUGACGCCUGCCCGGUGCCGGAAGGUUAAUUGAUGGGGUCAGCGCAAGCGAAGCUCCUGAUCGAAGCCCCGGUAAACGGCGGCCGUAACUAUAACGGUCCUAAGGUAGCGAAAUUCCUUGUCGGGUAAGUUCCGACCUGCACGAAUGGCGUAAUGAUGGCCAGGCUGUCUCCACCCGAGACUCAGUGAAAUUGAACUCGCUGUGAAGAUGCAGUGUACCCGCGGCAAGACGGAAAGACCCCGUGAACCUUUACUAUAGCUUGACACUGAACAUUGAGCCUUGAUGUGUAGGAUAGGUGGGAGGCUUUGAAGCGUGGACGCCAGUCUGCGUGGAGCCGGCCUUGAAAUACCACCCUUUAAUGUUUGAUGUUCUAACGUGGACCCGUUACCCGGGUUGCGGACAGUGUCUGGUGGGUAGUUUGACUGGGGCGGUCUCCUCCUAAAGAGUAACGGAGGAGCACGAAGGUUGGCUAAUCCUGGUCGGACAUCAGGAGGUUAGUGCAAUGGCAUAAGCCAGCUUGACUGCGAGCGUGACGGCGCGAGCAGGUGCGAAAGCAGGUCAUAGUGAUCCGGUGGUUCUGAAUGGAAGGGCCAUCGCUCAACGGAUAAAAGGUACUCCGGGGAUAACAGGCUGAUACCGCCCAAGAGUUCAUAUCGACGGCGGUGUUUGGCACCUCGAUGUCGGCUCAUCACAUCCUGGGGCUGAAGUAGGUCCCAAGGGUAUGGCUGUUCGCCAUUUAAAGUGGUACGCGAGCUGGGUUUAGAACGUCGUGAGACAGUUCGGUCCCUAUCUGCCGUGGGCGCUGGAGAACUGAGGGGGGCUGCUCCUAGUACGAGAGGACCGGAGUGGACGCAUCACUGGUGUUCGGGUUGUCAUGCCAAUGGCACUGCCCGGUAGCUAAAUGCGGAAGAGAUAAGUGCUGAAAGCAUCUAAGCACGAAACUUGCCCCGAGAUGAGUUCUCCCUGAGACUUUAAGUCUCCUGAAGGAACGUUGAAGACGACGACGUUGAUAGGCCGGGUGUGUAAGCGCAGCGAUGCGUUGAGCUAACCGGUACUAAUGAACCGUGAGGCUUAACCUU